UUUGCAGAGAUGCGAAUGUGCCUUCGGGAACUGUGAGACAGGUGCUGCAUGGCUGUCGUCAGCUCGUGUUGUGAAAUGUUGGGUUAAGUCCCGCAACGAGCGCAACCCUUAUCCUUUGUUGCCAGCGAUUAGGUCGGGAACUCAAAGGAGACUGCCAGUGAUAAACUGGAGGAAGGUGGGGAUGACGUCAAGUCAUCAUGGCCCUUACGACCAGGGCUACACACGUGCUACAAUGGCGCAUACAAAGAGAAGCGACCUCGCGAGAGCAAGCGGACCUCAUAAAGUGCGUCGUAGUCCGGAUUGGAGUCUGCAACUCGACUCCAUGAAGUCGGAAUCGCUAGUAAUCGUGGAUCAGAAUGCCACGGUGAAUACGUUCCCGGGCCUUGUACACACCGCCCGUCACACCAUGGGAGUGGGUUGCAAAAGAAGUAGGUAGCUUAACCUUCGGGAGGGCGCUUACCACUUUGUGAUUCAUGACUGGGGUGAAGUCGUAACAAGGUAACCGUAGGGGAACCUGCGGUUGGAUCACCUCCUUACCUGAAAGAAGC
rnacentral:rRNA from 1 species